CCUACGGGAGGCAGCAGUGGGGGAUAUUGCACAAUGGGGGAAACCCUGAUGCAGCGACGCCGCGUGUGGGAAGACGGUCCUCUGGAUUGUAAACCACUGUCCCCAGGGACGAAGAUGACGGUACCUGGGGAGGAAGCUCCGGCUAACUACGUGCCAGCAGCCGCGGUAAUACGUAGGGAGCGAGCGUUGUCCGGAAUUACUGGGUGUAAAGGGAGCGUAGGCGGGACUGCAAGUUGGGUGUCAAAUCUACCGGCUCAACCGGUAGCCGCACUCAAAACUGCAGUUCUUGAGGGAAGUAGAGGCAGGCGGAAUUCCUAGUGUGCGGUGAAAUGCGUAGAUAUUAGGAGGAACACCAGUGGCGAAGGCGGCCUGCUGGGCUUUUACUGACGCUGAGGCUCGAAAGUGUGGGGAGCAAACAGGAUUAGAUACCCGGGUAGUC
rnacentral:rRNA from 1 species